AUUGAACGCUGGCGGCAUGCCUUACACAUGCAAGUCGAACGGUAACAGGUCUUCGGAUGCUGACGAGUGGCGAACGGGUGAGUAAUACAUCGGAACGUGCCUAGUAGUGGGGGAUAACUACUCGAAAGAGUGGCUAAUACCGCAUGAGAUCUACGGAUGCAAGCAGGGGAUCGCACGGCCUUGUGCUACUAGAGCGGCCGAUGUCAGAUUAGGUAGUUGGUGGGGUAAAGGCCUACCAAGCCGACGAUCUGUACUUGGUCUGAGAGGACGACCAGCCACACUGGGGCUGAGACACGGCGCAGACUCCUACGGGAGGCAGCAGUGGGGAAUUUUGGACAAUGGGCGAAAGCCUGAUCCAGCCAUUCCGCGUGCAGGAUGAAGGCCCUCGGGUUGUAAACUGCUUUUGUACAGAACGAAAAGGUUUCUACUAAUACUAGGAGCUCAUGACGGUACUGUAAGAAUAAGCACCGGCUAACUACGUGCCAGCCGCCGCGGUAAGAC
rnacentral:rRNA from 1 species